GUGAGGAAUAUUGGUCAAUGGACGAAAGUCUGAACCAGCCAUGCCGCGUGAAGGAUGAAGGCCCUCUGGGUUGUAAACUUCUUUUAUCUGGGACGAAAAAAGGGUAUUCUUACUCACUUGACGGUACCAGAGGAAUAAGCACCGGCUAACUCCGUGCCAGCAGCCGCGGUAAUACGGAGGGUGCAAGCGUUAUCCGGAUUCACUGGGUUUAAAGGGUGCGUAGGUGGGUAUUUAAGUCAGUGGUGGAAUCUCCGAGCUUAACUCGGAAACUGCCAUUGAUACUAUGUACCUUGACUGCCCUGGAGGUAAGCGGAAUAUGUCAGGUAGCGGUGAAAUGCUUAGAUAUGACAUAGAACACCAAUUGCGAAGGCAGCUUACUACGGGGUGAUUGACACUGAGGCACGAAAGCGUGGGGAGCAAACAGGAUUAGAAACCCCUGUAGUCC
rnacentral:rRNA from 1 species